AACGAACGCUGGCGGCAUGCCUAACACAUGCAAGUCGAACGAGACCUUCGGGUCUAGUGGCGCACGGGUGCGUAACGCGUGGGAACCUGCCCUUAGGUUCGGAAUAACUCCCCGAAAGGGGUGCUAAUACCGGAUAAUGUCUUCGGACCAAAGAUUUAUCGCCUUUGGAUGGGCCCGCGUUGGAUUAGCUAGUUGGUAGGGUAAAAGCCUACCAAGGCGACGAUCCAUAGCUGGUCUGAGAGGAUGAUCAGCCACACUGGGACUGAGACACGGCCCAGACUCCUACGGGAGGCAGCAGUGGGGAAUAUAGGACAAUGGGCGAAAGCCUGAGCCAGCAAGGCCGCGUGAGUGAUGAAGGCCUUAGGGUUGUAAAGCUCUUUUACCCGGGAUGAUAAUGACAGUACCGGGAGAAUAAGCUCCGGCUAACUCCGU
rnacentral:rRNA from 1 species